rnacentral:rRNA from 1 species
AACGAACGCUGGCGGCAUGCCUAACACAUGCAAGUCGAACGGGAUCCAUCCUUCGGGAUGGUGAGAGUGGCGGACGGGUGAGUAACGCGUGGGAACCUGCCCAGUGGUGGGGGAUAACUGCGGGAAACUGCAGCUAAUACCGCAUGAGCCCGAGAGGGGAAAGAUUUAUCGCCAUUGGAGGGGCCCGCGUUCGAUUAGGUAGGUGGUGGGGUAAUGGCCUACCAAGCCGACGAUCGAUAGCUGGUCUGAGAGGAUGAUCAGCCACACUGGGACUGGGAUACGGCCCAGACUCCUACGGGAGGCGGCAGUGGGGAAUAUUGGACAAUGGGGGCAACCCUGAUCCAGCAAUGCCGCGUGAGUGAUGAAGGCCUUCGGGUUGUAAAGCUCUUUUGCCAGGGACGAUGAUGACGGUACCUGGAGAAUAAGCCCCGGCUAACUUCGUGCCAGCCGCCGCAGUAAAAC